ACGGGUGAGUAAUGCCUAGGAAUCUGCCUGGUAGUGGGGGAUAACGUUCGGAAACGGACGCUAAUACCGCAUACGUCCUACGGGAGAAAGCAGGGGACCUUCGGGCCUUGCGCUAUCAGAUGAGCCUAGGUCGGAUUAGCUAGUUGGUGAGGUAAUGGCUCACCAAGGCAACGAUCCGUAACUGGUCUGAGAGGAUGAUCAGUCACACUGGAACUGAGACACGGUCCAGACUCCUACGGGAGGCAGCAGUGGGGAAUAUUGGACAAUGGGCGAAAGCCUGAUCCAGCCAUGCCGCGUGUGUGAAGAAGGUCUUCGGAUUGUAAAGCACUUUAAGUUGGGAGGAAGGGCAUUAACCUAAUACGUUAGUGUUUUGACGUUACCGACAGAAUAAGCACCGGCUAACUCUGUGCCAGCAGCCGCGGUAAUACAGAGGGUGCAAGCGUUAAUCGGAAUUACUGGGCGUAAAGCGCGCGUAGGUGGUUUGUUAAGUUGGAUGUGAAAUCCCCGGGCUCAACCUGGGAACUGCAUUCAAAACUGACUGACUAGAGUAUGGUAGAGGGUGGUGGAAUUUCCUGUGUAGCGGU
rnacentral:rRNA from 1 species